GGUUGAAGCAUCCUGUAUGGAAUGAAUGCAUGGUUACUAAAACCAGAAGAGUCUACUAUGAAACAGUAAUUGCGUUAAGAAUUAUCAAAAAUACUUCCUAAGACAAUAAUGACACCUGAACACAAGGCUGAUGUGAAGAGUGUGGGAGGUAGCCUACAUGAAGCAUUUAGCAGAAGGCCUGGCAUAGAGGGGCCGUUGUCUGAGCAGGGCU
rnacentral:lncRNA from 1 species